GCAUCUUUGAACAUCGUAUUGCAUUCGUGUUUCCAUCGUUUCCAUCGGGCAGUUUUGACAUUACGAUGUCUACACGAAUGAAUCACGAAGCUACCCGAAGGUCUUACGAUAGAAACACGACUUCGUGAAGACCUUGUAAUCCCGUCGUGUUGCCAUCGAAUAAAAGUACGAAGGCGACAAGAUGGAACUACGACGGCAAAAAAUCCAGCUAAAUGUAAGUUAAUUUUCGCGCUAAAAUACAUUUAAAGUGCCAUGCGCGAUAUGCACUGGUCAGUCUAAUACGAC
rnacentral:lncRNA from 1 species